UACGUAGGGGGCAAGCGUUGUCCGGAAUCAUUGGGCGUAAAGAGCGUGUAGGCGGCUCGGUAAGUCCGCUCUGAAAGCCCGGGGCUCAACCCCGGGAGGCGGGCGGAUACUGUCGAGCUAGAGUCCGGAAGAGGCGAGUGGAAUUCCUGGUGUAGCGGUGAAAUGCGCAGAUAUCAGGAGGAACACCAAUGGCGAAGGCAGCUCGCUGGGACGGUACUAACGCUGAGACGCGAAAGCGUGGGGAGCAAACAGG
rnacentral:rRNA from 1 species